GUAACGCGUGGGUAACCUACCCUGUACAGGGGGAUAACAGUCAGAAAUGACUGCUAAUACCGCAUAAGACCACAGCACCGCAUGGUGCAGGGGUAAAAACUCCGGUGGUACAGGAUGGACCCGCGUCUGAUUAGCUGGUUGGUGAGGUAACGGCUCACCAAGGCGACGAUCAGUAGCCGGCUUGAGAGAGUGAACGGCCACAUUGGGACUGAGACACGGCCCAAACUCCUACGGGAGGCAGCAGUGGGGAAUAUUGCACAAUGGGGGAAACCCUGAUGCAGCGACGCCGCGUGAGUGAAGAAGUAUCUCGGUAUGUAGAGCUCUAUCAGCAGGGAAGAAAAUGACGGUACCUGACUAAGAAGCCCCGGCUAACUACGUGCCAGCAGCCGCGGUAAUACGUAGGGGGCAAGCGUUAUCCGGAAUUACUGGGUGUAAAGGGGGCGUAGGUGGUAUGGCAAGUCAGAAGUGAAAACCCAGGGCUUAACUCUGGGACUGCUUUUGAAACUGUCAGACUGGAGUGCAGGAGAGGUAAGCGGAAUUCCUAGUGUAGCGGUGAAAUGCGUAGAUAUUAGGAGGUACAUCAGUGGCGAAGGCGGCUUACUGGACUGAAACUGACACUGAGGC
rnacentral:rRNA from 1 species